rnacentral:rRNA from 1 species
UACGUAGGGUGCAAGCGUUGUCCGGAAUUAUUGGGCGUAAAGAGCUCGUAGGCGGUCUGUCGCGUCGGCUGUGAAAACCCGAGGCUCAACCUCGGGCCUGCAGUCGAUACGGGCAAACUAGAGUACUGCAGGGGAGACUGGAAUUCCUGGUGUAGCGGUGAAAUGCGCAGAUAUCAGGAGGAACACCGGUGGCGAAGGCGGGUCUCUGGGCAGUAACUGACGCUGAGGUACGAAAGCGUGGGGAGCGAACAGG